ACUUGAGUGCAGAAGAAGGAAAGUGGAAUUCCACGUGUAGCGGUGAAAAUGCGUAGAGAUGUGGAGGAACACCAGUGGCGAAGGCGACUUUCUGGUCUGUAACUGACGCUGAGCGCGAAAGCGUGGGGAGCAAACAGGAUAGAUACCCUGGUAGUCCACGCCGUAAACGAUGAGUGCUAAGUGUUAGGGGGUUUCCGCCCUUAAGUGCUGCAGCUAACGCAUUAAGCACUCCGCCUGGGGGAGUACGGCCGCAAGGCUGAAACUCAAGGGAAUUUGACGGG
rnacentral:rRNA from 1 species